rnacentral:rRNA from 1 species
UACCAGCUCUCCGAGUGGUGGGGAUGCUUAUUGGGCCUAAAGCAUUCGUAGCCUGCUUGACAAGUCCCCCGUUAAGUCCAACGAUUCAAUCGUUGGGCUGCGGGGGAUACUGUCCGGCUAGGGGGCGGGAGAGGCCGACGGUAUCCUCGGGGUAGGGGUGGAAUCCUAUAAUCCCGGGAGGACCACCAGUGGCGAAGGCUGUCGGCUAGAACGCGCUCGACGGUGAGGGAUGAAAGCUGGGGGAGCGAACCGGAUUAGAUACCCGGGUAGUCCCAGCUGUAAACGAUGCAGGCUAGGUGUUGGCGCGGCUACGUGCCGCUCCAGUGCCGCAGGGAAGCCGUUAAGCCUGCCGCCUGGGAAGUACGGCCGCAAGGCUUAAACUUAAAGGAAUUGGCGGGGGAGCACCACAAGGUGUGAAGCUUGCGGUUU